rnacentral:tmRNA from 1 species
GGGGGUGACAAGCUUUGACAGCGAUUACUCUCAAGAAAGGCAAGCCGAGUCUUCUGAAAUCUCGUUAAACUUUCAGGAAACAUAAGUGCCAACUCAUUUUCACAACCUGCUCUAGCUGUUGUCUAACAACCUAAGGCAGCAUCGACCUUAAAGAUUCUCGAUGAUUAAGGUUGGUGUCAUUUAUCGAGAAAAGUGUUCUUUUAUCGGGUUGGCAUUGGCGAAAGCCAACCAACCACAUUGGCAGCCGGAUUUUCUCCCGAUUAGAAUCCUCUGCUUCAAACCUUUAAUUGGGACAAGCUUGUAGAUCUUCUUUGAGAAAAUCUCCUGGAUCCGGGUGCAACUCUCGGCGCCUCCACUU